rnacentral:rRNA from 1 species
CCUAGGGCGGCAGCAGUGGGGAAUAUUGGACAAUGGGCGAAAGCCUGAUCCAGCCAUGCCGCGUGUGUGAAGAAGGCCUUCGGGUUGAAAAGCACUUUCAGUGGGGAAGAAAGCCUUGGGGCUAAUACCCUCGAGGAAGGACAUCACCCACAGAAGAAGCACCGGCUAACUCCGUGCCAGCAGCCGCGGUAAUACGGAGGGUGCGAGCGUUAAUCGGAAUUACUGGGCGUAAAGCGCGCGUAGGCGGUCUGAUAAGCCGGUUGUGAAAGCCCCGGGCUCAACCUGGGAACGGCAUCCGGAACUGUCAGGCUAGAGUGCAGGAGAGGAAGGUAGAAUUCCCGGUGUAGCGGUGAAAUGCGUAGAGAUCGGGAGGAAUACCAGUGGCGAAGGCGGCCUUCUGGACUGACACUGACGCUGAGGUGCGAAAGCGUGGGUAGCAAACAGGAUUAGAUACCCUGGUAGUC